rnacentral:lncRNA from 1 species
CACGCUGCAACAGCAGCCAAGGCGUAGCCGUCGCGAACAACCCUCCAUUUCCAUUUCCGAUCCCAUCAUCUUCUUCAGCUUUUUUUCACCCAUAACUUUGAAAAAAAAAACUGAUUUAAAAUGUUUACCAAACAUUUAAAAUGCUUCAAGUUUUUUUCAUACUCACUUUUUUUUUUUUUUUUAAGUUAAGCUAAGCCAAACUAGGGCUAUGUAUAUGUACUUCGUGUAACUACCACUCAAUUCCAUGCACGAAGUAUUCCACACUAUAUCUACUUACGAAAAUUGAUGUUGCAUGCAUGGCUAUGAACAAAAAUAAUUAAGGUUAUCUCCAAUCGAAGGGUCCUAACGGUCAAAAAUAGCCCGAAAACCGUCUCCAACCGAGGAUCAGGCCAAAAGGCUUGUGGGCUUAACUGGACAAAAAAGGGCCAACCGGUUGGCCAUCUUUAGCCAAUCAGCCAGCCCGCUGGCUAGCCCAAUUUCAUUUUUUUUUUGUUUUUUUCCAUUUGCCCAGCCCCCCUUUUUUUUUUGUUCUUUUCCACUUGCCCAGCCCACUUUAGGGUUUAGGGCUUAGGUUUUAUGGGUCUCAACCCAUUUUUUGUUUUUUAUGCCCAGCCCAUUUUAUUUUGGGACCUUUUUUUUUUUAAUUUUUUUUAUUUCUAAUUGUUUUCCUACACCAUUUCUCACAUAUUUUUCACCAUUCCAUACUAUCUUACCUCAUUUUAUUUCAAUUCUUCACAUUCCAUACUAUAACCUUUUGGCCCUUAGUUGGAGACAGUUUUUUGUGACAGGGCUAAAAUGAACCCUAUGACCCUUUGGCCCUCGGUUGGAGAUGGUAAGAAAUAUGACCCUUCACUAUUCAUUAAAAUAUUAAUUUCUUGGAAGACCAGAGGGCUAAAACGAUCCCUCUGGUCAGCCUUCGAUUGGAGAUAGUCUAACGGUUAAGACGUAAUUAGAGAGAUGAACACUAAAGAACAUAUAUAGUUGAGACGAACGGCAAUAGCGAAAAUAACUUCCGACCUUAAGACUUUAUUCAAGACUUUGAAUUGUAUUGAGUCUCUGUAGUGGAUUAAAGUGGGUUUAUGCCGGAUUGGAAUGCUUAAUGAUAUAUUAUCAUGUGUUUGGUUCAAUAGAAGAAUGACUGGAUUUGACCUUCAUUCUUUAACGUACCGUUUGGUACGCAGAUGGGAUGAGACGGAACGGGACGAGAUGGGACAUGACGGAACAGGACGGGACAGAACGGACGUUCCGUGUUAUGUUUGGUACGCGCAGGACGGAACAUGACGGUUGUUCCGUUCUGCGUUUGGUAGCGCAUGGACAAAACGGAACCAAAAGAUUAAAAUGACUAAAAUACCCAUAUUCCGUCUGUUACUUGGUACAAUAUUUAUUCGUGGAACGGGAUGAUACUUUCUUUUUUUUUGGUUCAAAUUUGAACACUAUUUGCUUAUUCAUUAUUUGUUUUUCCUGGUCCAUAUUUUAUUAGGUAUAUGUUGUGUUCCAAAUGAAAAGCCCUUUAAAAUUUGUAAUUCUUCUAUGAUUUAGGUUGAUGAAGUCAGACUUCCUCAAGCCAAUGAAUAUUGGAAGUGAUGAGAUGGUUAGCAUGAAUGGGAUGGCUGAUUUUGUCUCUAUGAUCAUGGUUGCCAUGCAAUGUUGAAAAAUAUAUAAGUUUAAUGAUCAUGCAUGACCUGAACAAACAAGCAUAUAAUUUCACCAUAAGUUAACAUACAUCGUCAUAUAGGGCGAUAAAGGUAAACAAAUGCCUAAAAAAUUACUAAUUCUACCUCAAAGUAGUGCCUCUUGAUCUCCAUCUCAACAUCAAGGCCAGUGAACUCACACAAAUGCCUGUGGGUAAAGGAGUCCUCAGCUCUAAAAACAGGACCAAUCUCAAAAAUACUGCCGAAGUCACCACAUAUAGCCAUCUGCUUGUGAAGCUGAGGUGACUGGGCAAGGUAGGCAUCUUGACCCUUGUAGUUGAGUCUAAAAACAGCAGCUCCACCUUCACUUGAACCAGCAAUCAACUUUGGCGAGUGGAUCUACACAACAAUGCAACCGACAUGCAUAACUAAACUCUUAACGAUUUUCUCUAGCUUUAAAAAGAUAAAUAGCUGCAAAUGGUGGAAAGACUACUUACAUUGCCAACUUGACUCUGAAUGUGGAAUAUCCCCUGAUUCGCAGGUGUUCGCAAAUCAAGAACUCGGUUAUUCAAGUGGGUAUCCUGAUUAACUCGAACAAGUGUUUCUCCGGCCUAUAAACCCAUCAUACCACCCAAUGAAUAUACACAUACUAAGAGAGAAAGUCCCAGAAAGCUUAACAAAGCUUCAAUAAUCCUUUUCAAAAUAAAUCAUCUAAAUGUACCUGCAAAGCCUUUUCGAUUUCAACAUCACUCCGAGCAGCAUCCUCAAUGUUAAUAGGUAAAACAGCAGCCUUACUCACACAAUACAACUUCCUCACUUGAACCUCCACCUAAUUAAGAUCAACAUCUCAAUUAUUUCAAUCAAAACCCAAUGCAAUCAUAGGAACUUUCAAUCCAUUUCUUCCUUGUUUUUUCUUUUUUCCUUUUUUUUUUCUCAAGAACCUAAUUAAUAAUAUUAUUUAUUCAUCAAUUUCUUCUGAAAAUUCGUGGAUAUCAUCACCAUCAAUCGCCCCAAAAUCCCUAGCAGAAAAACAACCUUGUUUCCGCCCAAACCCCAUCCACUGUUUUCAUUGCCUAAACCCAACUUGACCCGUCCAACCCAAAACCUAGCGAAGAAUGCACUCGCACUCCCAGUUGCACAAAUCUUAACAAAACCCAGUAAUUAACAAAUCAAAUCUGAUGAUUAACAAAACCCAGUAAUUAACACAACCCAAAUCAGAAUAUCAAUCGCAUACCUGGGUCAAUCUGCAAUGCGACGGUAGUGGCUCCGUGCUGGCUGGGUGCAGUCGACAGCUACGGGAGAGGAUGAGGAGGAAGGAUGAGGAUGAAGUCUACGGGAAGAGAGCAGCGGCAGAGAAUGGUGUAAAUAUUGAAAAAGACAAGGGGUAUUUUUGUCUUAAAAUGUUAUAAAUUUCUGUCCAUGAACGUGGAACAUGCCGUUCCAGGAGGGGAGGUGGAACAAACAAUCAUCCAAAACUUAUCCCGUGGAACAGCGCGUUCCACUCGUUUUAGGCGCACCAAACAUGGGACGGAACUUUUCGUUCCACUCUGUUCCAUUCCGUCCCACGUACCAAACGUGACCUAAAGACUAGUGUAUAAUACAAGAGAAACUUCAAUAAGGUUGUCUAAUUGUGUACAGUUCUUAAACUAGUCUUAUAUUUUUGUUGCAAGUGCCUUAAAAUAAAAACAAAUGUGAUCAGACAAUCGUAUCCAUGUGUUUCUCGUACAAUACUACUUACAUAUUUGGCGUAGGCUCAGAUGUGAUAUUAAUUAAUUUUACUUUCAAUUGUAACUAGUUGUUUUAAAUGUGGAUAAUAUAUUCAAGUUCGAUUGAUAUUAGAUGCUGUAUGAAGAACAGUCAACUCCCUUGAAAGUUAACUUGAUAUAUGUCGACAGAUCACACGUACAUGACAGUCCACUGGAUAUAUUGACCAAAACUGGCAGCAUGAACACUAACGAAGCCCUGGCUUUCCUCUGUGGGUUAUUAACAUAUUUGGGAAUAUAUUUCCGUAAUCCCAUACAUGUUUUGGAUAGUGAUUUAGUAUCUUGUUAGAUGUCUAGGCUAAGGAUAUGGCAUUGGAAAGCAGGCGUAAUUGGAUGCAUAAUAUUGCUGAGAUUUUUCUGUGAGUGCAGCUGUGCAAGAAGAAUAUGGCUUGCUCCAAUUAACAAAAUAAAUUCUCUGUUCACGGAAGUAUUCUUAAUUUCUUGCAAGAUUUUUUAUUUUUUAUUUUUUAUUUUUUGGUUGAAUAACGUUACAAAAGAAAUUACAAACAAAAUUCUCGACGAAUCAUUUGCGCAUUAAGGUUUUUGUCUUUCUAAAGUUUCUGUUGUAGUAUCCGAUCACUAAUCAAAGAAGACAAAGACACGGAUAAUGUUAAACAAUCAUGUAUGCAUGACUAAUGACUUUGUUUCAUAAUCGAGCCAAUUUUCUCGACAGGGGAAAGCGAUUGGUCUUCUUCCUUUCGUGCUAGUUGCUACCACUAACUUACGAGCCAAUAAUCUCAUUCCUUAUAUCAUAGCCUAGGCCCUAACUAGAGAUCGAAGAAAGUUAAGAUUUCAUCAUAAAAUCAAUUGACAAUAUUGAGAGUAAUCCAACCUCUUAUAAGUCCUUGCAAGGUUUCUCCUUUCACCAAUGUCACCAAUGUGAGACUUUUUUACCUUUACAUUCUCACACACCCCUUCAUGUGUGGUGAAUUUUCAAGCCAAACACGUGGAUAACACAAAUUAGGUGACGUAGAGCAUGUGUGGCCGUUGGGCUUCAUACAUGGGCCAACAUGGCUCUGAUACCAUGAAGAAAGUUUGGGUUCCACUAUAAAAUCAAUUGCCAAUAUGCAUGGGGAGUAAUCCAACCUCUUAUAAGCCCUUACAAGGUUUCUCCUUUUAAAGACUACUACAUAAUGUAUUCAAUGGUGUUGAGCAAAAUAAUUAUCUAUAUAUUUGAGUUACUGAUAAUCUGUUGAGAAUUAAUUUCACAUUAAUCGGAGAAUGAAUAUUGCAUGGCUUAUAAGUAAGUUGGACUACUCUUCAUAUUGUCAAUUAGUUUUAUGAUAGAACCUUAACUUUUUCAUGGUAUUAGAGCAGGGAUUUCCACGUUUGAAGUCUUAACAACUAAAGAAAUGCAGAAGAAAUCUCAGAGAGAAAUUGAGAAGAAGGAAAACAAAAAAGAGAGAGAAACUGAAGAAUUCUUUUGUUAUUACUUUGUAACGGUAACAAGCUAUACACACGUAGGCUACUAUUUAUAGUAAUUACAUAUUUGAUAACUCAUCACUCGAUAAUUCCAGCUCACUUAACUAACUAACCAAUUUUUAACCAGUUCAACUGAUUCAUAACAGAUUCUAAUUGACAUGGCAGAAGGAUCUUAUAUGGUUGCCAUGUGUCUUCAAUCAUUACUCCCCUCUCAAUCUCAGCUAGGGUAACCAAGCCUGAGAUUGCAGCAAUGUCUGAUAUAAGCUGGAUCAUGUAACCCCUUUGUCAAGAUAUCGACCGUUUGAUCCUUGGUAGGUACAUAUUGAACUUGUAGAUCAUCUCUGCACCUUUUCCCUCACAAAAUGGAAGUCAGUGUCAAGAUGUUUUAUUCUGGUAUGAAAUACAAGAUUCAGAGCACAAUGCUAAGGCAGACAAGUUAUCAUAAUGUAGUAAAGGUGGUUCAGGAAUGAAUUGAUGUAAGUCUUUCAGCAAUAAACGAAUCCACACUACAUCAACUGCACAAUGUGCAAGUGCCUUGUACUUAGCUUAUGUGGAGCUCCUAGAUAUCGAGGCUUGUUUCUUCGACUGCCAAGACACAUGAUUUUGUCCCAUAAACACAACAAAGCCUAUGACUGACCUUCUGGUAUUGGGAUUAGCAGCCCAAUCAAAGUCUGAGUAUGCAGUUAUUGAAUUGUCUUUAGAUGUAGAGUACGUAAGACCACACUUCACUGUUCCUUGAACAUAACUCAAGAUUCUCUUUACUAGACCAAAGUGAACAUCAGUUGGAUUAGUCAUGUAUUGACAAGCCACAUUCCAGCAUAUGACAAAUCAGGUCUAAUAAAUGUCAGGUAUUGUAGUGCUUCUACUAAGCUCCUAUAAAAACUCGAAUCUUCAAGAAUUGUACCUUCAAUAACUAAUAGUUGAGUAUGAGGUUUACAUGAAGUUGCAGGCUGUUUGCAACCAUCCAUUCCUGCUUUAUGUAUCAAAUACUUUGCAUAUUUCGACUGAUUGAUGAAAAUAUCACCAUUCGUUUUGUAUUCUAUUUGUAAUCCCAGAAAAUAAGAAAGUCUCCCCAUAUCUUUCAAGUCAAACACAUCACAAAGUUCUUGAAUCACUGCUUGUACCUUUGAUUGGUUGGAUCUUGUCAAGAUUAUGUCAUCUCCAUGUAGUAAUAAAGCAAUGACAUAUGUGCCAUCAUACUUCACAAAGAGACUUGUAUCAGAUUGAGACAUUUGAAACCCCAUUGCAGAUAAAUAUCCUGUAAAUUUAGCAUUCUAGACCAUAGGUGCUUGUUUUAAGCCAUAGAGUGACUUAAUCAAUUUACAUACAUAAUCAGGGUGUGUGGAAUCUACAAAACCUUGGGGUUGCUUCAUAUAAACCUCUUCCUCCAAGUCACCAUGCAAGAGUGCAUUCUUGACAUCAAGUUGUCUUAAUUCCCAUUUAUACUGAGCUACUAGAGAUAUAAUCAACCUAAUAGUGGUAUGCCUUACAACAAGACUGAAUGUUUCAAAGUAGUCUAAGCCAUGCUCUUGAUUAUAUCUUUGUGUAACCAAUCUUGCUUUAUACCUUGAAAUGGAACCAUCUGGAUUUUUGUUCAGCUUAUACACCCAUUUGGUUCCAAUAACUGACCUGUGUGUAGGUGAUGGAAUCAAUUUCCAUGUGCCUUGACUUUUUAAUGCAUCAAAUUCAUCAUGCAUUGCUUGUUGCUACUUAAUAUUGUUGCUGUACUCCUAAAUUUUGUUGGUUCUGCCAAGUUAGUGAUUUGUGCCACAAAUGAAAAACCUUCAAUCUGAUAAUGAUCAUCUGUAUUAAUCUUUAAGGUUGAUAACUGAGGUAGAUUUGCAAUAAAGCUUGUGUAAUCUUUCCAUGUAAUAGCUCCUGAUUGCAAUCUGGUUUGCAUUCUUGAUAUUGAAUUGUCAGUUUGAGCAUAAUUAGAAAACUGAGACGAAUCAAAAGGUAAAAUUACCUCUAAUUGUGCAGGAUUGAGGACAUGUAACAUCAAAGCUGUGUUUGGAGGAGAUGAGUGAGUUGUUUCAUGGGAUUGUGAUGAUUUUGUUGGUAUAUUGUGACUGCUAGAUUUAAUACUACUCUGCGUUAACCCCAUAAUAUGUUGGCUAGAAGAACUUGUAUGAUUAACAUUCAAAAAUUCAUGUAUAUCAUUGUUGUCCACUAAAUUGACAUACCUUGAAUGUACUGGGAGUGUCACAAUACUUGGAGUAUUAGCAGACUGUAGUGAUUGAGAAUUCUCCUAAGAUUGAGAUUUUAUAUCACAGACAUUAAGCUUAUAAGGAAACAGACUCUCAUCAUGAAUUACAUGCCUGGAUAUGAUUAACUUCUUUGACUGUACAUGAUAACACACUACACCUUUAUAUCCCACUGCAUAUCCAACGAAAACACAUUGUAAAGCUCUUGGCUGCAACUUAUUCUCAUUAUAAGGCCUAAUAUAUUAAUACAUAGCUGUUCAAAUAUUUUUAUACCUUGUAGUUGAGGAUUAUCUCCAAAUAGCAACUGAUAAGGAGAUUGCAUUCCUAAUGUUUUACUUGGCAUCCUAUUUAUUAGAAACACAGAGAGUGCACAAGCAUGAAACCAUAAGCUUUGAGGUAAAUGUGUAGUUGUCAUCAGUGUUAUUGCAGUUUCUAUAAUGUGUCUAUGCUUCCUCUCAGCCAUCCCAUUCUGCUGAGGAGUAUAUAGACAAGAAAUCAAGUGAAUUAUACCUUAAUGUUGCAGAAAAUCAUCAAACUGUUUACUCAUAAAUUCUCCACCUCCAUCUGUUUGCAAGCAUUUGAUUCCCAUAUUAAACUAAGUAAGAACAAAGCUAUAAAAUUUAUGAAAUAUAGCAAAGACUUCUGAUUUAUUUAUCACGGGAAAUAUCCAUACAUGCCUUGUGUAUCCAUCAACAAAACCAACAUAAUAACGAAAACCUUCUAUAGACCUAGUUGGUUAAGGCCCCUGGAGAUCUAAGUGAACCUUUUGGAAUGGAAAAGUACACGUGACUGCCCUAUUUGGAAAUACUUGUCUUGACAUUUUACCAGAAAUAGAGAAAGAACAAACAUGCUUUUGACAUUAUUAAGAGAACUUCAUCAUUACUGAGACAUAGAGUAUUGAGAAGGAAACACCAUUGGAGCUUGAGAAGUUGGAUAUGGUAACUGUAUUGGACCAGAAUUAGGAUAUGGCCCUUGAGAAGAUUAUUGAACAUGCCCUGAAUUAGAUGAUGAAGACCCUUGAGUAUAUGGCCCUCCAAAAGUUGAUCCUCCAUGUGGUAUCUGUGUAAUCACUCCUCCAAUGGUAUAUGGCACAUCUUCAGAGUUACUAGAAGACCAUUAUGUCAUUGAGACCUGAGAACUCAAUCCAUUACUUCCUU